GGGCCUAAAGGCCUAGAAUUCUGUUUUUACGUUGUUAUACUUUCACAGGGAGGUAAGGAUGGGGUACUGGGUGUCUUCUGUCACCUGGGCUGAAAUGCCAGGGCAGGGUGCUGGGUGUCUUCCAUGUCAUUACAUUUUUAGGGUAGAAAUUGGUGAUAACAUGACAGCAUGCUUUCAAGGGAUAUGUGGCCUCCCAUAGUUGUUUUGAUAAAUGCUGUCUAUUGGUUUUAGUGCUUGUAUCCUAGAACAGCAACCAGUUAGGAAUUCAUGGUAAAGCCUGAGGUUCCCUGAGAAACUACAGUGGGUUAGUACAGUCACAAGCUCUGGGGGUGCUGCAGUAACUAUAAUCAAUGAGUUAGUAUAAUCAGAGAUCCAGAGGGCUAUAGUGAUUACAAGCCAAUGAUUACAGUUAGUAUAACCAGAGUUCUAGUGAGCAGUAUCAUGACUGGGAUCACAGGUUGAUAGACUCCCAAGCUCUGGGUUGGGGGUGUUAUCAUGUAUUUAAUAGGACUGCUCAACUGAUUAGGAAAGUCUUAUUCUUCUUAUAUUUGUGCUUGUUUGCUUUGGUUCUGGUCUGGUUUUUCCAGACAGGAUUUCUCUAUGUAGCCAUGGCUGUCCUGAAACUCUAUAGACCAGGCUAGUCUCUAACUCACAGAGAUCCACCUUCUUCUGUCUUCUGAGUGCUGGGAUUAAAGGUAUGCAUCACCAUGUCCUGUGUCCUUUUUAAUUUUUAAAUUAUUUAUUUAGUGAUACCUGGGGGCAGGGGUGCAUACAUGCCACAAUGUCCAUGUGGAGGUCACAGGACAGCUUGAAGGAGUCAGUUCUUUCCUUCCUCCAUGGAAUCCUAGGAUUGACCUAGGUUUGUGAGGUGUAGCAGCAAGCACCUUUAUCCACUGAGCCAUCUUGCCAGCCCAUAAAACCCUCUUUUGAUGGUCAAGGAAAACCUUAUGAGCUUCAACGUUAGAAAUUUCCUCUGGCUACAUCUCCAAAAAGCCUUGGCAUUUUUGACAGAAUAAUGUCUCUGCAGCCAGGAGGUGUUAACCCCAGCAUCUGAAGGAAAGCGGUUCCAACUUCAACAGAGCAGCACUGGCCUUUAUCCUGCAAGCCAGGAGCUUCAGAGAAGAAACUGGACACUUCUGUUAUGAUUGUUAUUCACUCAACAAAUAUUUACAGAUCACCUGAUGGACACGAAGAAGAAUGGGAACCAAAGUGCAAAGCCUGCUGUUAUCUCUACCACCUCAUCCACCGAGUGCCCUCAGAUCAGUCCUUGCUCUUGCUUGACUUUACUCUCCCUGUCUUUAAAACCAGCUCCAAAUCACAGUAGCCCUGGAGAGCCUCCCAGCAAGGCCUCUCUUUGGUGCAUGAUGAGCAUGGAUACGCCAUCUCCCUCGGUGUGUUCUUAACGGUGAUCUCAGCUCCUAACUCACAUUAGGGUUGGAGGAGCACAAAACCCUUCUCAGGUUACUGGCAUGUUGUGGGGUUACUCUGCCAGUCUCCUUGAUGAGUGAUGGUGGUACUCACCUUUAAUCCCAGCACUCAGGAGACAAAGCAGGCCCAUCUCUGAGUUCAAGGUCAAGCUGGUCUACAGAACAAGUUCCAGGACCACCAGGGCUACACAGAGAAACCCUGUAUUGAAAAACAGAUGACAACAAUAAAAAAACAAAAAACAAAACAAAACAAACAAACAAAAAAAAACCACAAACUUAUUGGCUUAAUACAUCAGAAACGUCUUGUAGCAGUGAGUUUGUGCUACACCGCUUUGGCUCUUGAUGGAUUGUGUGUACACACCUGCCUAGGAAACAUCAAGAUUUGAGAAUAGAAAACGCACACACACAUACACUCCAGUUAAUUUUAAAAUGUCUAGGCUACCUCAAAGGCUGGGCACUCCUAGACCUACUUCUGCUACCCCAGGCCCAGUCAGGGAAGUGGCGAGUAGCCACCCACCUGAAUGGCUCAGUGGCUUUCUCUCUUGUAGCUCCUUCAUCCAUCUGUAUCUCUUCCUCGAGUCAUGGUGGUACUUCCUCUUCUCCACUUCGUCCUAGCCUGAGCAACUCUAAGGGUCCCUCCCCAUCUCUCUUUACCCAACCAUUGGCUGCUGGCAUUUUAUUGAUCAAUCAAAAAACCAUUUGGGGACAAGGACCUUUAGCGUUUGUACACGCAGAUUCCUGACUGAAUCAAAGCAUUAGAACCAAUCUCUAACAGUACCCUCUUUCACAAAUGUGAAGUUUGACUUAUGGGAUCUAGAUGUAGCUGAGGCCAUGCUGUCCCUAGGAGGCCUAGGGAAGGACCCUUCUUGCUAUCCCUAACUUCCAGUGCUUGCCAGCCAGCCCUUUAUGUUUCCCAGCUUGUAGCUUCAUCACUGCAAAUUCUGCCUCCAUCAUCACAUUGCCUUCUCCUCGUGGUUCUCCAAUGUCUCAUAAAAGAAAGGAACCAGGCAUGAUGGUGCUUACCAAUGAUCCCAGCACUCCACGGAGGAGGGAUGAUUAGCCUAGGCUCCACAGGGAACAAGUUCCCAUCUCAAAUUAAAAGGAGAAAGGAGGGCUAGAGAGAUGGCUCAGCACU
rnacentral:lncRNA from 1 species